UACGGGGGGAGCAAGCGUUUGUUCGGAUUUACUGGGCGUAAAGGGCGCGUAGGCGGCGUGACAAGUCACUUGUGAAAUCUCCGGGCUUAACUCGGAACGGUCAAGUGAUACUGUCGUGCUAGAGUACAGAAGGGGCAACUGGAAUUCUCGGUGUAGCGGUGAAAUGCGUAGAUAUCGAGAGGAACACCUGCGGCGAAGGCGGGUUGCUGGGCUGAUACUGACGCUGAGGAGCGAAAGCGUGGGGAGCGAACAGG
rnacentral:rRNA from 1 species